rnacentral:rRNA from 1 species
UACGUAGGGUGCAAGCGUUGUCCGGAAUUAUUGGGCGUAAAGAGCUCGUAGGCGGUUUGUUGCGUCGGCUGUGAAAUCCCGAGGCUCAACCUCGGGUCUGCAGUCGAUACGAGCAAACUAGAGUGUUGCAGGGGAGACUGGAAUUCCUGGUGUAGCGGUGAAAUGCGCAGAUAUCAGGAGGAACACCGGUGGCGAAGGCGGGUCUCUGGGCAACAACUGACGCUGGAGGAGCGAAAGCGUCGGGGAGCGAACAGGA